rnacentral:rRNA from 1 species
GACGUAGGGUGCGAGCGUUGUCCGGAUUUAUUGGGCGUAAAGAGCUCGUAGGCGGCUCGUCGCGUCAGCUGUGAAAACCCGCGGCUUAACUGUGGGCUUGCAGCUGAUACGGGCGGGCUAGAGUUCGGUAGGGGAGACUGGAAUUCCUGGUGUAGCGGUGAAAUGCGCAGAUAUCAGGAAGAACACCCGUGGCGAAGGCGGCUUUCUGGGACGGUACUGACGCUGAGGCGCGAAAGCCAGGGGAGCAAACGGG